rnacentral:lncRNA from 1 species
GAAGGCGGAGCCGCCCAGGUCCCCCCGGGCGUCGAUGAAUGUGGGGUACCAUUCCUUGAUGAUGUGGUCAUGUUUGUAGUCGGCCUUAUUGUCCUUUAGAUGUUCCACGGUGUUCCGCUCGCUCUUCUCAUAGGCCUCCCGGGGCUUCCGGACAGACACCUUGCAUUCUCGGACCUUGUUGACGAUGAAUUCUUGGAUGAGAAACCUGAUAUCUUCCAUGAGUCAUCAUAAAGAAGUCUGAAUAUCUUGGUUGAGAGCUAGACUUUGGAAACAGAGAGACCCUGUAUAAUAACAGACUAAGAAGUAAGGAAGACAAGCCCAGCCAGUCCCACAACUAUUUCAUUAAUACCAGGUAAAGCAACAGACCUGCCAGUGAAGCAUCUUGGAUCCUUUAGCUUUAGUAAUGUUCUUGUAGUAAUUUUGGAAGUCAAUACUUUCCUUAAGAAUACUAAAGUUUUCUUUUGGGAAAAGAGAAAAACUGAGGAGAGGAAACAAACUGCUCUUAUACCUUCUUCCAUGGUCUUUGGAUGAAGGUUAAGUUAUGGGCCCCAAAAGUGGGCUAGCCUCAUUUGGAUAAUACUCCAUCCUAAGCAGUAUGGUUUUGAAUAAGUUGCUGAGACUUUCUGUGCCUCCAUUUGUAAAUGGUAUAAUAAUACCUAGUUCAUGGAAUUGUUGUGAGAAUGACAUAAGUGAAAGUAUGUAUAUUUCCAUGUUCUAUAUAAACUGGUUUUCUACAAAUUACAAAGCAACAACUAACCAAGUUAAUUGAAAUCGAGUACUUUAUUCAAGUAAUAAAUAUCUGGUAUUUACAAAUCAAAAUUGAAAAUCAUAGUACAUAACGAAAAUUCAUAUAUACAGAUCAACAAAUAUAGUAAUUUAAAAC